AUGCUGAUGAUACCUAGUGUGCUCAUGCGCAAAUGUUUGCUCAAGUUCAUUAUUAAAUCGUAUUCGUUGGACAGAAAAAGGUUCAUCAUGCCAUCAAAAAAUGGUGCGAUAUCAUUGCGCACCGAAGAUGUGUUUGACAUUUUCGGGCUACAGAACAAGGGCAAAGAUGCCAUGAAAGCGCUAGGAAAAGGGGGGUUAAAGGCGAAGGUGGAGGUGCCUAGUCGCUUUUUAGAUUCCAAUAUGGGGGAAAUGAUGACAGACGACCUGAUUGAGAACAUUGUUGCCAGUGGCACAUACGAUGAUGAUUUCCUCCGUUGA
rnacentral:rRNA from 1 species